AAGUUAAUUACUUAAGAAAGUAUAUGUUUUGAAAACAUUAAUGAGAGGUUUAAUUCCUCUAUUAACUUA
rnacentral:tRNA from 1 species